UUUCCGUAGGUGAACCUGCGGAAGGAUCAUUAUCGAAUUUCGAGGGGAAGGAAGAUGAGGAGUGGAGACUGUCGCUGGCUUCCCCGCCUGGGAAGCAUGUGCACGCCUUGCUUUUCGUUGACCUUUCUCUUACUCUCACACCUGUGCACCCAUUGUAGGUCCUCGAAAGAGGAUCUAUGUUUUUAUCAUCACACGCAUCGUAUGUCCAUAGAAUGUAACAUGAUCGUCGAUCGACCUCGCGGUCGGGUGGCGGUCUAAAUAAAUAAAUACAACUUUCAGCAACGGAUCUCUUGGCUCUC
rnacentral:misc_RNA from 1 species